UGAAUACGAGAUGCUACGGCGUCGAAGCAGUCUAUGUCAUACUUCCAAGAAAAGCUCGCACUGUCAUAAACAAAUAAUGCCUGUACCAUAACCGACACAGGUGGGUAGGUAGAGUAUACUAAGGGGCGCGAGAUAACUCUCUCUAAGGAACUCGGCAAAAUGACUCCGUAACUUCGGGAGAAGGAGUGCCUUAUUUAUAAGGUUGCAAUAACAAGAUCCAAGCAACUGUUUAUCAAAAACACAGGUCUCCGCUAAGUCGUAAGACGAUGUAUGGGGGCUGACGCCUGCCCAGUGCCAGAAGGUUAAAGAAGUUGGUUAGCAUUCGCGAAGCUGAUAACUGAAGCCCUGGUGAACGGCGGCCGUAACAAUAACGGUCCUAAGGUAGCGAAAUUCCUUGUCGGGUAAGUUCCGACCCGCACGAAAGGCGUAAUGAUUUGGAUACUGUCUCGGAGAGGGGCUCGGUGAAAUAGACUUGUCUGUGAAGAUGCGGACUACCUGCACCAGGACAGAAAGACCCUAUGAAGCUUUACUGUAACUUGAGAUUGAAAUUGGACUUUACUUGCGCAGUAUAGGUGGGAGGCGUUGAUAAUAUUCUUGCGGGAUUAUUUGAGCCAUCAGUGAGAUACCACUCUUGUAAUGUUAGAUUUCUAACUUUGUAUCAUUAUCUGGUCAAAGGACAGUUUCAGGCGGGCAGCUUGACUGGGGCGGUCGCCUCCUAAACGGUAACGGAGGCGCACAAAGGUUUCCUCUGAACGGGUAGAAAUCGUAUCUAGAGUGUAAAGGCAUAAGGAAGCUUGACUGUGAGACCUACAAGUCGAGCAGGGACGAAAGUCGGUCUUAGUGAUCUGACGGUGCUGAGUGGAAAGGCCGUCACUCAACGGAUAAAAGUUACUCUAGGAUAACAGGCUGAUCUCCCCCAAGAGUUCACAUCGACGGGGAGGUUUGGCACCUCGAUGUCGGCUCAUCGCAUCCUGGGGCGGUAGUACGUCCCAAGGGUUGGGCUGUUCGCCCAUGAAAGCGGUACGCGAGCUGGGUUCAGAACGUCGUGAGACAGUUCGGUCCAUAUCCGGUGUAGGCGUUAGAAUAUUGAGAGGAGCCUUCUUUAGUACGAGAGGACCGAGAAGGACAUACCUCUGGUGUACCAGUUAUCGUGCCAACGGUAAACGCUGGGUAGCUAUGUAUGGAGUGGAUAACCGCUGAAAGCAUCUAAGUGGGAAGCCCACCUCAAGAUAAGUAUUCUC
rnacentral:rRNA from 1 species